GCUAAAAUAAUUUGAUAUUUCAUUGUCCAAUGAUAAUAAUAGAGAUGUUAAUCAUGAGUUUGGCUCCAUCCCAUUUAAAAUAUUCAAAAUUAAGCUCUGGCUUUUUUGUUUAAGCUCAAUCCCCUUUUACAAAAUAUACACAGUACUCGGAUUUGAAUUCAGAUGGUAAUGCUUCACUAACACUAUGGAAAACUAUAGUGGAUUUACAAAAAGAUGUGAUAAUAAUACUGGAUCUGGAGGGUCUAAGCCACUUGCCCCUAUAACAAACAAAGUUAAAAUUCCAC
rnacentral:lncRNA from 1 species